CAUCUCGACCCCCAUAAAUAAAGCAACAUUUCUAUUCAUUACUAUUUCAAACAGUUUUAAAAUGACCUAACCUACACCUGCCACAUCUCUAUGGAGUCAAAGGUCACAACUUUCUUCAACAUCUGUUUUUGUUGCAGCCUCACUUUUAGGUUUUGUUCUAAGCCCCAGUUUCUAUCACUCCAGAACAUUGGGAGGGGACACGGCCUCCACCCUCACAGACCACAGUGGUAUCACGUAUUAGGACAUUUUUCUCACAUACUGUACUUUUACUUAUUCAUGGCAGUAACAGAUGGUAAUAAUCUAGUGACAUUAGUAAAUGUUGUUGGUUUCGUUCUAACCUCUUACUUCUAUCACUCCAGAACAUCAGGAGGAGACACGGCCAUGAUGGUUUCUAAGACUUCACCUGAAGAACAGGAACUUCUCAAGAACACCCUGAAGGAGGAGACGUGGCCAUGAUGGUUUCCAGGACUUCACGUGAAGAGGAGGAUCUUCACGCUACAGAAACCACGGGGAGGACACGGCCCCCCCCGCGCCUGCUACCACAGGACCCGCCCUGAUGAUCCAGGCCCCCGACAACGGGUGGGAUUUGAACCAAUCUCCUGCGACUUCCAGCCGCGGUUGAACCACCACACGCCACCAAGAACCCUUCACACUUGGACCUUCUCUCUGAGCGCUUUGGUCAUCGUCACUUUGGACUUUGUACUUUAAAAGUCACGACUGUCAUAAGAUUUGAACCCAUGACUUAAAAAGUUUCAACCACUCAUUCAACUCUCUGAGCUAUUUAACUGCAAGUUUCUAGUCUUUCAUUGACAUUUUCCAUCUGUUUCUUUGGAUGUUGAUCUUCAAAAGUCACAACUGUCAUAAGAUUUGAACCCAUGACUUCACGCUCACCAUAGACUCUUCUAACAGUCUGAGCUAUUUGUCCACAUGUUCCUUGUCUUUCUUGGAGCUUUUCAGUCUCUACUUUGAGUAUUGGACUCUAAAAUUCAAAGACUACGAUAGGAUUUGAACCUACAUCUUCAGAACCUCCAAUAAGUCCUCUACCAGCCUGAGCUAUCUCACCACACAUGUUCUCACUCUUCCUGGAGCUUUUCUGUUUGUUUCUGUGGUUGAUUAAAUCUAAAAGUUCUCAUGGGGGAUUGAACACAUGUCUCAAAAACAUUAAUGAACUGACCUAACACC